rnacentral:lncRNA from 1 species
GUCGUCAGCUUGACAGUUGAACACAUUCCUAAUCUUCCCCACGAUCAUGAGAGCUAGAGUGGUCUUCCCUGAUCCAGGGACCUGCUAGGCUACUGGUCCUUCCUCUUCUCUUCUGUAAUGAGCCAUAACAACUAUGUAAGUCCAAGAGCUUCUAGCAUCUGCUUUUACUAGCACAUGCAGAGAGCACACCGCAAAAUAAGGUCAACUGGAAGGAAUGCAGAGACCAGAUGUGGAACUAAGAGGGAGAAAAACACACAGACACAGAGUAAGGCUGUCAGGAUCUCCAGCAGCUCGCUCUCCACCAGCUUCCUCGCCAGCUCAGCAUCCGCUGAUAGCAGGUUGUGGGCAAUGACCAGGCCCCGGUGCUGCACGGACAACUGGUCAUGCAGGCAAAGCCGCUGUAGGAUCUCCAGCCACUGGGUUGUCUGCCGAGUGGAAGUUGAAGAAUCAGUGAGGAGGCAGAGGAAAGACUUUUCUUAACAAGAAAAACAAAAAGUAUCAGCCGUGCCCACAGCUAAGUAACUUGAUUAUGACCACAUAUCUAUAAAUAGUAAUAGACUAAACUAAAAUAGACUAAU